GCCUGUGUGGCAUAGUGGUUUGCAUGUUGGAUUAUGACUCUGGAGACCAGGGUUCAAUUCUCCACUCAGGCA
rnacentral:tRNA from 1 species